UGUCUCAAACGGUCCUGCGGUUUUAUCUGCCUAACGGUAUCUUCACGCACGACUGGAUAGGCCUUUUGGAUACGCUUGUCCAAGGCCCAAGACAUAAAGUAGCCUGCAAUCAUUCCAUUGCUGACCCAUCGGAUGGUUAUCACAUAGAGGAUUGGCUUAAUCUAGAAUCAUGGAUACCUUUCAUGUGAGUACUCACACACCAGAUUUUUUACAUACCUCAGAAGGACCAACUGGGAUUGCAAUAUCUGGAGGCACUGUCUCAUGUACAAUUGUUAAUGUUAUCUCUGAAAUGUCUAACAAAAUGUUGACUUGACCGUUUCAUCAAGAUCUGUGCAUCACAAGUUGGAACUAGUGGUCAAAAUUGGGACAAUGUUGCCCAAAAUAAAUGUUUUCAUGGAGUGAACAAGACCUGCCAACAGAGCUCACUGGAGCAGGGAGACAUCCCGUCAUCCCUUCGGCACCUGACAAAGUACACUUUUUUCUUCUAAAUAACACUAUAGUAACAUCUUCUGCACAAAGGUACAUUCCUAAUAAGAUUGGUGUUAAGUGAGAAAGAAUCCUAAAGAUGGUCCAAUGGGCAUUGUCUGAAGCCUCUCAUCACCUCAGUAUGUUGAACCACCUGAUUUCCUAUAGGAUUCAGAUCCUGCUGAACGAUGUUAAGCAGUCGAUUAACCACAUGCAGGGGAAGCUGAACACCAUGCAGGGGCAGUGUAUUGAGUUGCAGACUGCCAUAUCUAAGAUCAUCCCAGCAGCCGACGUUGCUGUACAGAGUGGGG